UAGAUCACACAGAAGUCUGGUGCUUUAUCAUAAAAUCGGGACGAUUUGGUACCAUGCAUCCCUUUGGGUUCCAACUUUGUGACGAUGAUCCAAGAAGAUAAAGAUUUGUAUCAAAGGUAUAGGAUACAAAUUUGAGCAGGACUGGGGCAGCACUUUGACAGGGCCCCAUGAGCAUUGUUUUUGCCAUCUGAGAUGCACAGCAGUGUUCUGAGCAGGAGAUGGAGGAAGAAAGGGUUGUGCCCUAAUAAGAAGGUGCGGAGGAAUGUGACAAGCAGCUUGGUCGUGUCUCGGGCAAGCACAGCGA